GUGUACCCGCGGCAAGACGGAAAGACCCCGUGAACCUUUACUAUAGCUUGACACUGAACAUUGAGCCUUGAUGUGUAGGAUAGGUGGGAGGCUUUGAAGUGUGGACGCCAGUCUGCAUGGAGCCGACCUUGAAAUACCACCCUUUAAUGUUUGAUGUUCUAACGUUGGCCCGUAAUCCGGGUUGCGGACAGUGUCUGGUGGGUAGUUUGACUGGGGCGGUCUCCUCCUAAAGAGUAACGGAGGAGCACGAAGGUUGGCUAAUCCUGGUCGGACAUCAGGAGGUUAGUGCAAUGGCAUAAGCCAGCUUGACUGCGAGCGUGACGGCGCGAGCAGGUGCGAAAGCAGGUCAUAGUGAUCCGGUGGUUCUGAAUGGAAGGGCCAUCGCUCAACGGAUAAAAGGUACUCCGGGGAUAACAGGCUGAUACCGCCCAAGAGUUCAUAUCGACGGCGGUGUUUGGCACCUCGAUGUCGGCUCAUCACAUCCUGGGGCUGAAGUAGGUCCCAAGGGUAUGGCUGUUCGCCAUUUAAAGUGGUACGCGAGCUGGGUUUAGAACGUCGUGAGACAGUUCGGUCCCUAUCUGCCGUGGGCGCUGGAGAAUUGAGGGGGGCUGCUCCUAGUACGAGAGGACCGGAGUGGACGCAUCACUGGUGUUCGGGUUGUCAUGCCAAUGGCACUGCCCGGUAGCUAAAUGCGGAAGAGAUAAGUGCUGAAAGCAUCUAAGCACGAAACUUGCCCCGAGAUGAGUUCUCCCUGAGACUUUAAGUCUCCUGAAGGAACGUUAAAGACGAUGACGUUGAUAGGCCGGGUGUGUAAGCGCAGCGAUGCGUUGAGCUAACCGGUACUAAUGAACCGUGAGGCUUAACCUU
rnacentral:rRNA from 1 species